rnacentral:RNase_P_RNA from 1 species
GUAGUAGGUCGGUUUGUCGCUGUUCAUCAAUGUGUGAAGAGAGGAAAGUCCGGGCAACGUAGAGCACCAUAUUUCUUAAUGGGAAGCUGUUUGUGAAAGCAGAGUAACGUAACAGAAAAUAACCGCCUUGCAUCUUUGUAUAAGAAGCGAGGUAAGGGUGAAAAGGUUGAGGUAAGAGCUCACCGGGUUGCAUAGCAAUAUGCGAUGCCGUACGUCUUAUGGGUUGUAAGGCCAUGUAUAUCGGUUAUAUGUAGGAUUGCUCGUCCGAUGCCGAGGGGUAGGCUGCUAAAGGGUGGUGGUGACAUCAUUCCGUAGAUAAAUGACAAACACCUUGCGUUUUGGUUAGUCUUGUACAAAUUGAAACAGAUGCAAGAGUACAGAACCCGGCUUAUAGACCUACUACUUUU